CCACGGAGCAUGCGCGACCCGCGGUCGCCGGCGAGGAGGGGGCGUGCUCCCAGACUUAGAAACAGUGAGGGAGAGCAAAUUCGCGCACCUGAUGUUUUCUUAAGCUACCUGCUGGACUGAGACUUUCUGCGAAGCCGGCGUGUCUGUGAGCAGCACUCGCUAAGGCUCUGCGUUUAACAGACACUACAUUUGGGAAGGCGCUUAUCACAAAAAGUCCCUGCCCUUCUCGCGGGCUCGGGGCGCAACCCUGACAAAUCGGGCAGCCUUCUUGAGAGUGCAGAAAUGCUCUGCGUACCCAGCAAAUACAUUCUCUCCUUCCCACCACUCUGUGCAAACCCUCACGCCGCGGCUUUGUGUCUGUACUUUAGCCAAAACGCAGAAGCUUAUGGCCACCCUCCACUCCUCACCCCUCAUCCCUCACCACCUGCCUUUCAAUUCUCGGAACGAGCGACGUGACACAAGAGGUCCCAAGGGAGCAAACCUGAAAGCCAGAGCCUCCUGAAUACACAGACUGCCGGUGGGCCAGAUGACAUUAGACACUCGUGAGAUACGAGAAGCAUCACUUCCUUCAGACAGAGUCGGUGAGACUAUGAUGUAAUGAGAGUUCUCCCUGUGUUCCUCAGGAAGGCAGUUUGUGCCUUUCUAUUUGAGGCAUGAUCUUUGAUGGCUAAAGAAUUCUGCAGCUUGGCCAGCGCGGUGGCUUACGCCUGUAAUCCCAACACUUUGGGAGGCCGAAGCGAGAGGAUCACUUGAGGUCAGGAAUUCGAGACCAGCCUGGACAACAUAAUGAGAAAUCGUCUCUACAAAAAAAAAAAAAAAAAAAAAAAACCAGCUAAAAAUCAGCUGGAUUUGGUGGCGCAUGUCUGUAGUCCCAGCUACUUGGGAGGCUGAGGUGGGAGAAUCGCUUGAGCGUGGGAGAUCACGGCUGCAGUGAUCAAGCCACUCCACUCCAGCCUGGGCGACAGAGCAAGCCCCUGUCUCAAUAAUAAUAACAAUUUUGCAGCCUGAUUGUUAACGAAUGUUACUAGUUACAAACUUGUAAUAAUGUGGUGAAGAUAAUACCUAGUUAAUAAUGUCUGCUGGGGUGGGGCAAUAAGCUUCUAUGUGCUUUACAUGCAUAACCUAAAUAUCUCCCCCAAAAUCCUCUAAAAUAGCUAUCAUUUUCUCCGUUUUUACAAAUGAGCAAAUUUUAAAGCUUAAACCUUAGAGAAACUUUUCUAAGUUCGUAUACUUGGGAAAUAAAGGCAACAAUUUCAUUGGAACAUAGGUCUGUCUAAUUCAUACCUUGUACUUUACGUUUUCUCUUUGAGAUGGUAAUUUAAUACCAGCUAAACUUUAAAAUCUAGUUGAAAGUAAGACCAUGAAAUGCCAAAAUCACAAGGCUUUAAAGGGUGGGAUGAAAGGGAUGCAUGAAUGUUGAAAACUAUGAUUAAGUUCAUGGACAGGAAUCAGAAUGGAAUUUAAUACACCCAUGCCUGUUUAGUAUUCAAGGCUUUAUAUAUGUGCAUGCCUACAUUCCUAAUUUAAAAAAAAAAUUGAUGUGAAGCUAGGUUUGGGAUUACUAGACUAUUUACAGAGAUAGACCUUUGAGAAGAACAGAAAGAUUAUGAGACAAGGACAAUGUUCAUUAAAAACAAACAACAACAACAACAACAACAACAACAACAAACAGAGGCUAUCAGUGCUCAGCAGAAUUUCAAGAGACUCUCCACUGGGUCCUUGGAUGAUCCCAAGUUGAAUCAUUGCUUGGGAGGCUAAUGGACACAUGGUUUGGCAGGGCUAAAAGGGGGAGAGUCACUAAAGGAAAGAAACAGGUUUUGUGCUCCAAUAGGGUAAUUAUAUCCACUGGUAAGGAAAAUGAGCUGAGAAAUUCAAGAUAGUAAUGGAUUUUCAUUCAUUUACUGAGUGAAAUUGGUUCAACUAAGAGCCUCACCUGCCCUCUUCUAAGGACCAGGGUGACCAGCCUACCCAGUUUCAGUUUGCAUGAGACUAAAAGGUUUGCUGGGAUAUAAAACUGGCUGACAAAGUCUCAGGCAAAUCAUGAGUCACUCUACUAGAGACAUCCUAAAUGAAUCCUACAAUGAAAUGGAGUUCCCAAUAUGGUUACAUCUAGUCUCAAUUCAUCUGCCUAAUAUCUGAGGGAUGAUUGCACAGGAAGGGAAACUGUUGAAUAAAGUCAUCGAGGCUGACCAUAAAGAGUCUACAAGCUCGAAAAGUGCUACACCCCACUCCCUUUCCAGUGGUUCAGCCACUGGAAACCAAAUGCCUACACCUAUAUGUUUUGGACCUAAUAUUUUCAUUUAGCAAAUCCGUAAGAAACCUUCCAUGUCUGGGCCUAAGACAUCAAGUACAUUCAUUUUCAGAAAUCAUCAAAUCAAUGAGAUUCUUCCAGAAUACAGCAGAGUGAACAUAUGCUUUUCAUUCCAGGAUAGCUUUAUAUAAUCCCUGGCAACACAAAAUACCAUAUUUGGCCCACAGUAGGGGCUCAAUAAAUAAUUCAAUAUAUAUAAUAUUAAUCAAGAAAUUAGAGCAGAUUGCAGACUUUCUGGGCCUUUGCUCUUUGUUAGAAUCAAGAUAUUAAAAAUAAUUAUUACUUUAUUCUAGAAAGUUUUUGGGUUUUGUGUGUGUGUGUUUUCUGUAUCAGUAACUCUUAAAAUAGUUAUGGCAGUUCUCCCCCAAGGUGCUGAAUUUUCCACUUUUGUUAUUAAAUGGAGUGUAGCUAGUUUGCUCUGCAACCAAGGUUAAUGCACUAGACACCUGGUGGGAAGAAAGGAUUCCUUAAAUUAGGUGUUCUUGGCUGGGAGCAGUGGCUCACGCUUGUAAUCCCAGCACUUUGGGAAGCCGAGGCAGGUGGAUCACCUGAGGUGAGGAGUUCAAGACCAGCCUGGCCAACAUGGUGAAACCUUGUUUCUACAAAAAAAAAAAAUACAAAAAUUAGCUGGGUGUGGUGGCGGGCACCUGUAAUCCCAGUUACUUGGGAGGCUGAGGCAGGAGAAUCACUUGAAUCCAGGAGGCAGAGGUUGCAGUGAGCCAAGAUCAUGCCACUGCACUCCAGCCUGGACAACAGAGUGAGAUUCCAUCUCAAAAAAAAAAAAUUAGGUGUUCUAAGAUUUCAUUGUAUAUAGAUUAACUUGGACAACUUGGCAAAAUGCAGAUUCCUGGCUCCCAGUCUUCAGAGACUCCCGUUCAACUACUGUAGGUUUUGGCCUAGAAAUCUGCAUUUUACAGUAAGCAUCUGGGCUCUCUGCCAUGUGAGGAUGCAAGAAGGUGUCUGUCUGCAAGCCAGGAAGGAUACCCUCACCAGACAGAGUAUAUGCCAGUAUAUUGGAUUUCCCACCCUCCAGAACUGGGAGAAAUAAAUUUCUGUUGUUUAAGCCUAUCAGUAAAUCAGUAAACAAACAUCUGAGCUGAUUGGGAUAUAGGUAGUUUUGGACUCUAUUUUGAGAAACUCUGCCCUAGUGAAUGAAGACUGUAGAUGUAUUUUUGCAAAAAUCUCUACUACCUUAGCCUAAAAGGCCUAUCUGGUCAGCUGAACCAUUAAUCCAGCUGGAAUACAUCAAGAAAUCAAGGCAAGGAAGCCUCAUGAUGAGAUUCAGGAUAGAACGCCUUUGGAAGGAAAAACAAAUCUGAAAUCUUUGAAUAAGUAAACACAGUAAACCUGACUCUAUUCAUUGCUCAUUAGAAAUAAUUCACUUGACAAUGAUUUAGAAAGAAUAGAACUUCAACAAAUAGGUAAAAUUAUGUAACAGUAAUUAUGCCAGUAUAAUUCACUUGGUUACCUUUGUUGUUUUAAAAAUAUCAUAAAAGGAUAAUUUCAAUCAUUAUUUUUUAAUUUUUUAAAUCAUGUCUUCUGAAUCAUAUGAACCAUUAUUUUGACAAGGUAAAUUAAGUAGAAUGGAUGGAGAAAGAAAAGUAAAGCAAGAAUAUGAAGCUAUACCUGAAGCUGUACUUGAAGCUCCAAUAGAAAGAUAAUAUAGAACACAAUGGAGUACUAUUCAGCCAUUUAAAAAAAUGAGAUCCUGUCAUUUGCAACAACAUGGACAGAACUGUAGGACAUGAUGUUGAGUGAAAUAAGCCGGGCACAGAAAGACAAACUUUGCAUGUUCUCACUCAUUUGUGGGAGCUAAAAAUUAAAACAGUUGAACUCAUGGAGAUAGAGGGUAGAAUGAUGGUUAUCAGAGGCUGGGAAGAAUAGUGGUGGGGGGUAGGAGGGAAGUGAGAAUGGUAAUGGGUACAAAAAUACAGUUAGAAAAAAUAAGAUCUAGUAUUUGAUAACACAGCAAGGUGACUACAGUCAACAGUAAUUUAUUGUGCAUUUUUAAAUAACUAAAAGAGUAUAAUUGGAAUGUCUGUAACAAAGAAAUGAUAAAUGCUUGAGGUAAUGGAUACCUCAUUUACCCUGAUGUGAUUAUAACACAUUGUAUGCCUGUAUCAGCAUAUAUCAUGUAAUCCAUAGAUACACACACCUACUAUGUACCCAUAAACUUUUUUAAAAAAUGAAAAAAAAGCUAAACUAAAAAAUAAAAAUAAGAAAGAAUAAGAUAGAAUCAAGGAAAAAAUAAUGGAAAUUUAAAAUUUCAAAAGAUUGGAAGAAGUAGAAAGAUGAAUUGAUAACUCCAUUCUGUAAAAAGAAGAGAACUAAAAAAAAAAAAAGACAACAGCAAAGUUCAAAGAACAUAUUGCUGUAAAUCUACUUUCCAUGCUUUUAUGUUUUUAAACUUUACACAUAAUUUUAAAUGAGUGUAUAUAAAAAGAAGUUAUAUAUAAUUUUCUUGUGUUAUCAGGGUAAUACUAAGGCACAAUCUGCAUUUCUACGUAACCUUUUUCUCAAGCAGCAUUGCCAAGUGUACUUUUUAAAAACUUCUACCAAAAAAUGUUUUCUAGAACUUGGAAAUUUACAACCUACAAUAUUUUAUUUAGCUUUAAUACAGUACUGUUCAAAUGAUACUAUCUGUGAAAAAUCAGGAUUGAACAAAACCAGAAUUGCUUCAGAUGUCUAACCCUACUGUAGCCUCAUUAGCAGAAGUUUUAAGGCGUAGAUGAAAGAGUGAUCCCCCUAGGAUUAAAUUGGGACCUUCAUAAUGCCCCUGCCUAUGGUUUCUUAAAUGGGGAGGAGGAGGGAAAGAUUGAGUAAGAAUAACAAAGAUACAAAUGCAUUAGUUAAAAUAGAAGAAACAAUAGUUGAAAUGUUAAUUCUCAAUUCCUGUAACAACAGAUUGAUAGAUGAGGCAUAAAACAAGACCAGAUGCUGUGGUUUUCAGGAUGCACUUGGCUUCCCAUCCUUUAUAACCUAGAGCAAUUUUUGCUGUAAGUAGGUCAUUUGCCUUCUCUCAUUUACCUGAUUCUAGGAAAAUGCCCUUGAAAGUAUUUAGAAAAUAAUAGGUACUGGUACUUAAUAUUUUAAAAAUUAAGAUCGCAUAAAACCUUCCUCCUCCCACCCGUUUCUCUAAUAGCCAGAAUAACUGAUAACCUUGAAGCGUAUGUGAAACUAAAAUGAUCAAGAAUAAUUUGAGAUCUUUUAUCUUCUAAGCACAAGUACACUAAACUCUGUGUCCAUUCUGUUAGUUCCCGUAAUUCACUUUGCUUAGCACUGGCAUAGUACUCAGCUCACAGAAUUAUAGUUGAAGUCUUUAUUCUCCUAUAAUAUAUUAUCAUCUUGAAAAAAGAGGAUGCCUAGAACAUAGGAGAGGCUUAACAAGAUUUAACCUGACUAGAGAGAAAAGAGGAUGCCUAGGACGUAGGAGAGGUAUAGAUUUAACCUGAUUAAAGAGGAUAAAAAAGGGAAGGGGGGAGAAAAGACAAGUGGUCCAAAGGUAUGACAUAUGAUUCAAACCAUUUUACUGAUGAUAAUUAUAUGAUUGCCCUAUUCUGAUGUGUCCAUUAGAAACUAGUCCAAUCGGGGAGUCUUGGUAUCUAUAGGGUGUAAGAACGUGGACUUGACAGACCUGGGUUUGAAUUUAAGAUCUACUGUAUACUGACUCUGUUAAUUUGGACAAGUUACUUAUGUUCUCAAGCCUCAGUUUCCUUAUAUUUAAUAUGGGAACAGUAACAGUACACAUGCCAUGGACUUGCACUAAGAAUUAAAUGAGACAAUACAUGUACAGUGCUGAGCUUAAUGCCUGGCACUUAGCAAGUGCUCAGUAAACAUGCUGGUGUAAUACCUCAGAUGUUAUUUUCAUUAUACGAUGAGGUGAUAUUCUCUCAUUCUUAGAUUCUGUAAGGACAAUGAUCUUUUCAUAUCUCCUCUGUGUUUGCAUGAGGACCUUACCUCUUCAGUUUUCAACCAUGGCAUCUUGUCUGAAAUGUUUAUCUUCUCUGACUUGUGAAGAGGCUGUGCCUCGCUGUCCUGCUGACCUCUUGGUUCUCACAUUCCCAUUCUUAAUACACCCCUCUGGCUGAGUCUUACUGAUCAGUAGUCUAUAAAACAUUUAUGAUAGUUAUAUAAAACCUGUAAGAUUUCAUCCCUAUGACCCAAAGGUAAUAAAGUUUAAAGUAUUUAUCGAUCCAUGAAAAUAACUGUAUGGAUAUUUCUCAGUUCAAAGACCAUCAUUAAUAUUGGCUGUUAUUCCCAUCUGUCAAGUAACAAUCAUUUAUUGAGUAUACAUUCUUUGCUUUUAUGAAUUUCUAAAGAUUGAAACAUCUUAUAAAAAUGCAAGUCCUCCUACAGCUGUUGAUUUUAAGUUAGAGGUUUGCUUACUUUUCCUUACUUAGACUGCUGAGUGGAUUUUGCACAAGAAAAAUAAAUUAAUUUAGUAGAUGAAAGUGAGACGCUGAACAAGCCUUGAGAUUUGAGAAGUCAAUACUUUGCAUGUCUUAUCUUUUCUCUGCAAAUCUUAACCUUUUUUUUUUUUUUU